ACAUGGAGGAUGCAUAAAAACACAGUAGACGACGAGUGUUAAUUUAAGGUAGAAAAAGGAGAAGAUUUGGAGAGAAGGGGAGUUGUUGUUGUUGUUUGUGCCGCGAAAGAGAAGGCAAGCAAAAAAGGUGAUCCUGGGCGUACAAGACCAUAACACCACCUUCCAGCUCACUCUCCAUAAACCCUAACGCUUCGUCUAGGGUUUCGCUGAAUUCCCCAAUUUUCCCAACCCCCGACCGGACAUGCUCCUUCUCCGAUGGCCGUCGUAACUAGCAACGGCAAGCGCCGCCAACAUUGGCCCUCCGCGAAUUACCACUUUCCAUCUCCCAAUUCCAAAAGACCCAGACUUCCAACAAUGUCCCAAAACCACGCGCAAUCCGUGUUAUCCUCCAGUAGUAUCAUUUCUAGAAUUUCUACGUACCCCGAAACCAAGCCACCCCUCCAUAGGGAGGUUCACGCCCCGUGUAGACCACGUAAGUUUGAUUCUCCUGCCUUCAAUAGAAGUGCUCAUUAUUAUCGCAAGGAAGAGAUUAGUCACGAUGUGGGCAACUUGUUAAGUAAAAAUUACCAAAGGGCGAAAAAUUCCGCGUUAGCUAGCAUUAGGUUUGGGGAAAAGGGCAAGGAGGUGAUAGAAGUGGAUGCUGAUAGUUCCAAGGAUAUGGUUUCGGAGGAGGAUUCGAGUGUGGAAGAGGUUCGUUUUGUGGAAGAAGAUGGACGAGAAGUGCGCUCCGUGGUGACGGAGCACAAGUGGCAAGAGGGUGAUUUGGUUGUGACUGAGGUUAAGGAUUUGGAUGCUAAGGAUAUGUGUGGUGGCCCUCAGCAGCAGUCAACUUCAUCCGUGGUUUCUGAGUUGACUAAUGGUGAUCUGAAUGUGGUUAAUGCUGAGAAGAUGUUGGACAUUCUUUCUUUGACUCCGGAUCAUGAUCUUUCCUCCGUUCAAGCCUACAAGAAGUUGCUCGAUGCUCUUGGCCAGCGAACGGAUACCCUUAACAGGCUGGAGGCUGAAAUUAAAGUUAACGAGAAGCGUAUGUCCACGUUUGAAUUGUUGCGCCCGAAGAAGGAACUAGUAGAGGAAGUUCCAUUGGAACCUUUUAUUCCUCUUACUAAAGAGGAAGAAGUUGAGGUUGCACAUGCCUUUUCUACCAACCGGAAAAAGAUCUUGGUUUCCCAUGAGAAAUCUGGCAUUGAGAUCUCGGGAGAAAAGUUUCAAUGCCUUAGACCGGGUGCAUGGUUAAACGAUGAGGUAAUAAAUGUGUACCUUGAAUUGCUGAAAGAGAGGGAGAGAAGAGAGCCACAGAAGUUUCUGAACUGUCAUUUUUUCAGUACCUUUUUCUACAAGAGGUUAAUAAGUGGCAAGAAUGGGUAUGAUUUCAAAUCUGUGAGGAGAUGGACCAGCCAAAAGAAAUUGGGAUAUGGCCUACAUGAAUGUGAUAAAAUAUUUGUUCCUAUCCAUAAAGAGAUUCAUUGGUGCUUGGCUGUUAUCAAUAAGAAAGAUAAGAAAUUUCAGUAUCUGGACUCACUAAGAGGAACAGAUGCCCAAGUAAUGAAAGUUCUGGCUAGCUAUAUUGUAGAUGAAGUAAAGGACAAGACUGGAAAAGAUAUUGAUGUAAGUUCUUGGAAAAAAGAAUUUGUUGAAGACCUUCCUGAGCAGCAGAACGGGUAUGAUUGUGGGGUGUUUAUGAUCAAAUAUGCCGACUUCUAUAGCAGAAACUUGGGGCUAUGUUUCAACCAGGAACACAUGUCUUACUUUCGGCGCAGAACAGCUAAAGAAAUCUUGAGAUUAAAAGCUAACUAAGCAAAAGAAUAUUCAUUUGUAUUUCCAUAUUGGAUUUUGGUCAUCAGAAAUUGAAACAAUCAUUAAUGUAAAAUCAGUAGAGCACUUUUUGAUGAAGGAUCCUUCACUCCUGUCACUAUCUCGACCUUAACCAUUCAAAAGUUCUGGCAUUUGUUAGAUUGUGGACUGGACUGAUUAUACAUAUCAUCCCGAUAUCCAGGUACACCAUGUUGGUAGUGUAGUGUGUAGUGGGUUGUAUAUGCUACGCAAAGGUGAAAUCAUAGAUGAGAUGAGGCAUUAGGUUGUGGUUUUAAUUAUGUAAUCAUAAAUGUGCUCCCUCACCUUUUUUGGUGUCUGGUUACUAUUUGUGUCCUUUUCUACUGAAUUUGAACUUGUUUGUGCGGUGAUGCAGAGUCCCUCAUAUCAGGUGCAUUAAGAGCAUUGAAGAAAACGGGGUAUUACUUUGCUUUUGAUUAUGCUUUACUGAUUUUAUAUGAAACAAUGUUAUACAAAACUUGAUAUCUGUACAAAACUUGAUAUAUAAAUUAAUAUUGGGUUUUCAACAUAAUUUUCUUUUUUUAAAAAAAAAUCAAGUUCAAGUCAAGUUAAAUGAUUCUAAACACAGGCACACAGCCUUUGAUUCAUUUGAAGCACUGUUGUGUGUAUGAUCAUUAGGGAUCAUAAAUUGAUUAUUAAAUAUACAUUGAUUAUAAGAAUUAUUCACGGUGAGUGGUUUGUGUGCGAGUAUUUGUUCCCAUGAGUUAUAGGUAUUUCAUUACCCAGUUCAUGUUGUAUUUCGAGUGAUUUCAACCCGGUUUAGUGUUAAUAUUUUCUUGAAAAGUAUGUGUUUUUUUAACAAAUGUAUGUUAUUUAAUAAAUAUUUUGUAUAACAUAAUAUUAUGUUUAUAAUGAAAUUAUUUAUUUUAAAAUAUGCAUUGUAAAAGUGGAGAUACAGCGGGGGUUCCUCCAGGUGUGGGGUCGUAUAAACUCAAAUUGUGAUGGUGCUGUUUCUGGUGGAGUUGCUGCGUGUGGGAGAGUCCUACGGAAUCAGGCUGGGGCAGUAGUCGUCUUUGCUCAUAAUCUGGGAAUGUGUUCAAUAUCUCAAGCUGAGAUAUGGGCUAUUACUAUGGGAGUUAAGCUUGCUUGGGAUAAAGGUUUUACAAACUUGUAUGUGGAAUCUGAUUUCAAAUAUGCUAUUGAGAUGAUGGAUGGUGUCUGUGAAUUCUCCAACAACUGCUUCCAGUUGGUGAAAUCGGCAAAAGAUUCAGUGUGAGGAGAGACAUAUUCUUGGUGCCACAUUCUCCGUGAGGCAAACAAGACAGCAGAUGCUCUUGCUAAAUUUGGCGUUGAUGUUAGAUGGUCAAAGUAGGAGCAACCUGCUUUUGACAAGAAGCAGUUUCUUGUCAAAAGCUUGACGAAGAGAAACUGAAGCUGUUUAAAAAGCACAUUGAGGGAGCAACUAAAUCCCUGCUCUCCAAGAUCAAGGAUCUUCAGUUCUUUGUUGGGGGAGAGCAUGAUUGAUGAUGGUAGCUAUAAGGAUGGGGCUACUGAUCCCACAUUGCUGUGCUUUGCAUUUGCUUUGUGGGAGGUCAAGUGCACUCACAAUCUACACCUUUUGAAAGUUUCUCAAGCUUAUGUUCUUGAAAGAGAUAUGUCAUCUACACCUUUUGAUUAAACAUAAUCAAUACUUACAAACAAUAUCUGUGGGGAACCUUUAACACA